GUAUUAGGUUGGUGCAAAAGUAAUUGCAGUCUUUGCAGUUACUUUAAUGGUAAAACCACAGUUACUUUUGCACCAACCUAAUA
rnacentral:miRNA from 1 species